rnacentral:rRNA from 3 species
ACAAUGGAGAGUUUGAUCCUGGCUCAGGAUGAACGCUAGCGGCAGGCCUAACACAUGCAAGUCGAGGGGC